rfam:Triticum urartu cultivar G1812 contig665396, whole genome shotgun sequence.
CAUAUACUCCCUCCAUCCAGAAAUACUUGUCGAACGGAGGAAUCAAUGUAUUUAGACGUAUUUUAGUUCGAGAUACAUCCAUUUUUAUGCAUUUCUCCGACAAGUGUCUCCGGACGGAGAGAGUAUGUA